AUGCAAGUCUUAGCCCCCCGUUUCUUUAGCCCUCUGACCAUACAUCUCUUCUUCUCUUCUCUCUCCUUUUUUUCUAUCUAAACUAAAACACUUCUAAGUUCUUCAUCUUUAUCUUCAUCUUCUUCAUCUUCAUCUACUUCUUCUCACUCUGCCAUCUCUGUUAAUCUAAAUGAUCAAAGAGAAAAAGAAAACAAGAGAAAGAGAUAAGAAGAAGAAUGCCAGUAGAAGGGGUGUGCAUGGAGAGGACUACAUCAAUGGCAUCACCAGACCUGUCCCUCCAUAUAAGCCAACCAACAACUAACACCUCACUGGACACCACGUCCACUAGCGCUGCCGGUGACCGUGAGCUUUGGAGGCGUAUAGAGUCUUUAAAACCACAUGAAGCCUCUACUGAACUCUCCCUCUCUAGUUCUACUCCAUCAACACAAACUUCAUGGCGUCGCCAAACAUCACUUCCAAUUCAUCAUGAAAACCUCCCUCAUACUCACCGGCCUGGUUAUGAUGGCAUGCCUUUCAUCACCACCACCACCACCACCACCACCUCGUUGGAAACCUCUAUGCCGAUUAAAGGCAUCCCUAUAUACAACAACAGUAGUAGCUUUCCUUUUAUUGCUCAUCAAAUCUCUUCUUGGCCUUCUUCUUCUUCUUCAUCAUCAUCAUCAUCAUCAUCUUCUGCUAAUUUAGACCCUAUGUCUUCUUUUUUGCACCCUAUUGGUGGUGGUGGAGGUGCUAUGAUGGGUUCUUCUUAUCAUAAGUUGAUAGCUGGACCUGCGAGGUUCAACUGUCUCUCACCUCCUUCUGAUCCGAUGAAAUCUCAAUUCAGUCAUCACCAUCACAAUCACCACCACCAUCAGUAUGGAAUGGGGGCUUUGGAAGCAUCUCAUAACAUGAUGAGGUCUAGAUUUAUGCCGAAGCUUCCGGCUAAACGGAGCGUGCGUGCGCCGAGAAUGCGGUGGACAAGCACUCUCCAUGCUCGUUUCGUCCAUGCUGUUGAACUUCUUGGUGGCCAUGAAAGAGCAACUCCAAAGUCAGUUCUUGAGCUUAUGGAUGUGAAGGAUCUCACUCUAGCUCAUGUCAAGAGUCAUUUACAGAUGUAUAGAACUGUGAAGACUACUGAUAAACCUGCAGCAUCUUCAGGUAAAUCAGAUGGGUCUGGAGAAGAGGACUUCAUGUCAGGAGGCGGUAGCAGCAGCGGCGAUCUUAACUUCCGGCGGUUCAUCGAUAACCAAAGUUCCGAUUCAACAAUGCAAGCACAAGAUGUGGAUUCUGGCACAAGGUGGAGUAACUCAUCAAGCAGAGGAACAUGGUUAACAAGCUCAAAUGACAUGGAAGGUCUAAUUAGACCAACUUUCUCAUCUCAACUUGAGGAAACCGAUGACCAUAUAAGAUCGAAAGACUCACCGGUUUUGAACCAAGAAGUGAAGAACCCUAGCUUGGAGUUCACACUAGGUAGACCAGAUUGGCAUAGCAGGGAGCAUGACUAACCUUUUUUUGCAUGGAGUUGGUAAUGAAGUGCAUGCAAAGCUUUGUUGUAUGGUAUAGAACAAGGGAAAAGUGGGGGAAAAAGAAAGGAAAAGAAGAAGAGUAGAGACAGAGAUGACAAUUACCACCAUGAAAGCAAUGUAUGUGUUUGUUUUGUGUUUGUGUUCAUGGUCCACAUUGAUUGGAAAAUACCAUGUUUGAGAGGGAAGCCUAUUUAUUGUUAGAGAAGUGGUACUUGAGAGGUGGAAAUAUUAUUGGAAGUAACAAAGAGUAUUUGAUCAAAAUCUUUAUAGUUUUGUUUAGGAUUAUAAUGAACAUUGUCUCUUUAUUUUUUCAUGCAACUUUAAGUACCUACAAAUCAUGCAUGCAUGCAUGCAGUCUUGCUUUUAAUUACAUUGGGUUUAGAUCUGUC